rnacentral:rRNA from 1 species
AAGACUGGGAUAACUCCGGGAAACCGGGGCUAAUACCGGAUGGUUGUUUGAACCGCAGGUUCAGACAUAAAAGGUGGCUUCGGCUACCACUUACAGAUGGACCCGCGGCGCAUAGCUAGUUGGUGAGGUAACGGCUCACCAAGGCGACGAUGCGUAGCCGACCUGAGAGGGUGAUCGGCCACACUGGGACUGAGACACGGCCCAGACUCCUACGGGAGGCAGCAGUAGGGAAUCUUCCGCAAUGGACGAAAGUCUGACGGAGCAACGCCGCGUGAGUGAUGAAGGUUUUCGGAUCGUAAAGCUCUGUUGUUAGGGAAGAACAAGUGCCGUUCAAAUAGGGCGGCACCUUGACGGUACCUAACCAGAAAGCCACGGCUAACUACGUGCCAGCAGCCGCGGUAAUACGUAGGUGGCAAGCGUUGUCCGGAAUUAUUGGGCGUAAAGGGCUCGCAGGCGGUUUCUUAAGUCUGAUGUGAAAGCCCCCGGCUCAACCGGGGAGGGUCAUUGGAAACUGGGGAACUUGAGUGCAGAAGAGGAGAGUGGAAUUCCACGUGUAGCGGUGAAAUGCGUAGAGAUGUGGAGGAACACCAGUGGCGAAGGCGACUCUCUGGUCUGUAACUGACGCUGAGGAGCGAAAGCGUGGGGAGCGAACAGGAUUAGAUACCCUGGUAGUCCACGCCGUAAACGAUGAGUGCUAAGUG